rnacentral:rRNA from 1 species
AUGGCUGGAAAGGAUAAUGAAGAAAUUCUGCGCGUGGUUCAACCAAGGGUGACAAAAGAGAUGAAUGAUAUACUGUGUGCUGAGUAUACAGAGGAGGAGGUGAAACUGGCCUUAGACAACAUAGGUGACCUGAAAGCACCAGGACCUGAUGGUAUGCCAGCCAUAUUCUUUAAAAGAUUUUGGCAAAUUGUUGGGAACCAGGUCACAAAGGAGGUUCUUCAAAUAUUGAGAGGAGGAGAAAUGCCUGAAGGGUGGAAUGAUAUGCUAAUAGUAUUAAUUCCGAAGAAUGCCAACCCAGCAAGCAUAAAGGAUUUGAGACCAAUCAGUUUGUGUAAUGUGGUGUAUAAGCUGGUCUCUAAGGUAAUCACAAACAGGCUUAAGGUAAUUAUUCCCGAUAUCAUCUCCCCUAACCAGAGCGCCUUCGUGCCAGGGAGGCUAAUUUCGGAUAAUAUUCUUUUGGCAUAUGAGCUAACUCAUUUCCUGCAGAGGAGAAGAAGCGGCUUGAUGGGCUAUGCAGCUGUCAAAUUGGAUAUGAGCAAAGCCUAUGAUCGUGUUGAAUGGACAUUUUUAAAAGAUAUGAUGCAAUGA